rnacentral:lncRNA from 1 species
GAGUCAGUUUUAUCUGCACACUAAGAUUAAAAUAGUAUCAAUUAAAAUUUAAAAUUUUUUCUAUUAUAUAAGCCUCCACAAUAUAUACUUCGCUUCACCCAGUUGUAAGUUCUGUCGAACCCCUGAGACUUCUGCUUGUCAAAUAGCAUGCCAAACUGGACUUCGUCCAAUUAGGAUACCCUCUGAAACACUUCCAUACCAUUGAGGUGUGGGGGUACA